CUGCAUGUGAGUUAAAUAAGCAGGGUGACAAUAUACAGCCUUGAUGUACUCCUUUCCCAAUUUGGAACCAGUCCUGUUCUGACUGUUGCUUUUUGACUUGCAUACAGGUUUCUCAGGAGGCAGGUUUUAGUUGUGGCAUAAGGCAUCUAGUUCCCUGAACAGGGAUGGAACCCAGGACCCCUGCAUUGUGAGCAUGGAGUCUCAGCCACUGGACCACCCGGGAAGUCCCAGAAAGGAAGUUAAUUUCUUGUGAGCCAGGAUCACUGAUGAACUUCGGGUGUCUCAGAGAAAAUGAGAGUUCAUCCACACUGAAAGGCCCUAUCAGCAAAGCUCUGAGAAGGUGGUGCUGUUUGCUACGUCGUCAGGCAUGAGACUUUAUGGCAACCACCACUGAAACCACUUCGAAGCCACUUCUGUGUCAAGAACUUCACCUUUUUUUACGCUGCUUCUCCAAAGCCAGUUGCUUUUCUUGUCACCUUUGCCAGUGAAAUGAAUGGAGGGGAGAUUCCCAUUUCCUCCUGUUGCUUAACUGUGGAUUGAAGUCUCAG